GACGAACGCUUGCGGCGUGCUUAACACAUGCAAGUCGAACGGAAAGGCCCUGCUUUUGUGGGGUGCUCGAGUGGCGAACGGGUGAGUAACACGUGAGUAACCUGCCCUUGACUUUGGGAUAACUUCAGGAAACUGGGGCUAAUACCGGAUAGGAGCUCCUGCUGCAUGGUGGGGGUUGGAAAGUUUCGGCGGUUGGGGAUGGACUCGCGGCUUAUCAGCUUGUUGGUGGGGUAGUGGCUUACCAAGGCUUUGACGGGUAGCCGGCCUGAGAGGGUGACCGGCCACAUUGGGACUGAGAUACGGCCCAGACUCCUACGGGAGGCAGCAGUGGGGAAUAUUGCACAAUGGGCGGAAGCCUGAUGCAGCAACGCCGCGUGCGGGAUGACGGCCUUCGGGUUGUAAACCGCUUUCGCCUGUGACGAAGCGUGAGUGACGGUAAUGGGUAAAGAAGCACCGGCUAACUACGUGCCAGCAGCCGCGGUGAUACGUACGGUGCGAGCGUUGUCCGGAUUUAUUGGGCGUAAAGGGCUCGUAGGUGGUUGAUCGCGUCGGAAGUGUAAUCUUGGGGCUUAACCCUGAGCGUGCUUUCGAUACGGGUUGACUUGAGGAAGGUAGGGGAGAAUGGAAUUCCUGGUGGAGCGGUGGAAUGCGCAGAUAUCAGGAGGAACACCAGUGGCGAAGGCGGUUCUCUGGGCCUUUCCUGACGCUGAGGAGCGAAAGCGUGGGGAGCGAACAGGCUUAGAUACCCUGGUAGUCCACGCUGUAAACGGUGGGUACUAGGUGUGGGGUCCACUCCACGGGUUCCGUGCCGUAGCUAACGCUUUAAGUACCCCGCCUGGGGAGUACGGCCGCAAGGCUAAAACUCAAAGGAAUUGACGGGGCCCCGCACAAGCGGCGGAGCAUGCGGAUUAAUUCGAUGCAACGCGUAGAACCUUACCUGGGUUUGACAUGGAUCGGGAGUGCUCAGAGAUGGGUGUGCCUCUUUUGGGGUCGGUUCACAGGUGGUGCAUGGCUGUCGUCAGCUCGUGUCGUGAGAUGUUGGGUUAAGUCCCGCAACGAGCGCAACCCUUGUUCACUGUUGCCAGCACGUUAUGGUGGGGACUCAGUGGAGACCGCCGGGGUCAACUCGGAGGAAGGUGGGGAUGACGUCAAGUCAUCAUGCCCCUUAUGUCCAGGGCUUCACGCAUGCUACAAUGGCUGGUACAGAGAGUGGCGAGCCUGUGAGGGUGAGCGAAUCUCGGAAAGCCGGUCUCAGUUCGGAUUGGGGUCUGCAACUCGACCUCAUGAAGUCGGAGUCGCUAGUAAUCGCAGAUCAGCAACGCUGCGGUGAAUACGUUCCCGGG
rnacentral:rRNA from 1 species